CAGAGUUAGGGUUGCCCUCGCGGUGCCCGACCUCCCAACCCUUUGCCUUGAAAAAUAGCAGUCGAACGCGCCGUCAAAACGCGCGCUCGUCCGCCAUGUAUAUACGUUGCUUCGGCGGCUCACACCGCCGGAGGAACCGUAAACCAAAACUCUUGUUUUAACCAUGUAACCGUCUGAGAAAAACUUUAAUAAGUCA
rnacentral:misc_RNA from 1 species